AUGGGGAUAUCCCAUGGCACCCCAAAUUCCGAUAUCACACCCACUGUCCACAUGCUCUCAGCCUGCAGGCCGCUGCGCACACCCUGGCCCCUGGGCCUUGGCUCCUGCAUGUCCAGGGGCUUUCGUGGCACCACCAAAGCUGUCCCAGCCACUGGGACUCUGUCCUGCACACCCCCGCCAUCGCUUCCUUUGCCAGCCCAGGGGAUUCCUUUCGCUGAUCCCCGUGAUGGGCAACAAUCCCAGUGGAAAAACCAUGUGCUGUUUUACUCUCAGAUGCCCACCUUCCGUGCUGAAGUCUCCCGGGGCGCGCGGGGGGGGGAGGGCAGUUUCCAGAACUGCAAAGGCCAGCAGUCUUCCCACCGACCUUGCCAGGGGGAAGGGGAAGCAGAAAGAGAAAGCCUUGAGGACCAACGGAACUGGGAAAUUCGCGUCUCUGAGCCUUUUCCUACCUUAGCUAGAAUCAGCCGGCCCGGGGCAGGGAGGCCUGAGACGCGAGAGGGAAGACGCAGGCAGCCUGCGCCGGGAGAGCGGCCCUCUGUCGCCCUCUCCAGGCCACAUGCAGAGUUAGGGACAGUGUCUUCCAGGCUCACAGUCCAACAUCUGGACAAAUGACUACCACAGUCCCACACCAUCCCCGCAAGAAUGAGGGCAGGAGAUAAUGAACCAUCCGCGUUUCACCACGGAGGAACCCCAGGCGUCUCGAUCCCACCUCUCUUGGAUUUGACACCAAGGAAACAAGAUUCAGGGGUCCGGGAAGAUCCCGGCCUUCGUGCCAAGGUCACCGAGCCCUUCCAAUCCCGCGAGCUUCCACGUUACAGAUGGUUUAUGAGAACGGUCCCACGAGGUGGCUGUAACUGGGACGGAUUUUUCCGCUUGUCCCGAGAGGACCACCGUGGGGAAGGAGCCAGCAGCCUGAUGUCCGCGUUCCACGGUUCAGACUGUUCCGGUGUCACUUCCUGCUGAGUUCCCGUCUCAGUCUGUUCCUCCAACAGAACGCCUCAGACCGGGUGACUCCUGGAGGCUGGGAGGGCCGCAGCACACAGCGGCAUCUGGCGAGGGCCUCCUGCUGCGGCAGAACGCGGCAGGAGGUGAAGGGAAGGGCAAGUCCUAGAGGAGGGGGCUUCAGAACAAGCCGUGUCCGGGAGAACAUCCACUCCAGUUAGAGUGGUUUCGAGCGUUCUCCUAGCACUGCCACGCCGAGACCUUCAGGGGGCCACGUUUGACCGCAGCUGUCUCUUCGUCAAGCUCUCCCACCUGGCCACCCUGUCCACUCUAAGCCCCUCCAUCCUGCGUGCCCUCUGAAGCCCACGGCCUCAUCCUUACCCUCUUCUGUAAGCAGCCCUUCAUCUUUUUCCUCCUUUUUUAAAAUAUUUACUUAUUUAUUUGAGAGGCAGAGUUACAGACAGAGGGAGAGACAGAGAGAGAGGUCUUCCAUCCGCUGGUUCACUCCCCAGUUGUCUGCAACAGCCGGAGCUGGGCCCAUGUGAAGCCAGGAGCCAGGAGCUUCUUCCGAGUCUCCCACGUGGGAGGAGCCCAAGCGCUAGUGUCUGUGUCUUCUGAUAGAGCCAGCGGCUCCAACGAUGAGGGCUCCACCCCAUGAUCACUGCCCACGGACCCCACCUCCAAACACUACAGCUGGACUAAGGGUCCAGCCUCUGAGUACUACCCCCAGAAGACUGGGCACUCACCCGCUCGAGGGCAGGGUGAAGAUCGUAGGUAAACCGAAGGCUGCCAAAAGGCCCGUUGUGCUGUCCUGGACGUAGCACACUCCGGACCGCACACAGCAUUCUGUCCUCUCCAUUCCACUUGAAGCAAAACGCAAACGACGAUGGCUCCUCAUGGCAUCCGGGGAAGCACGUGCUGUCAGCCCUCUCUGCCCUUUCUCCCACAGCCUUCUGCUCACCUGCCAUCACACUCUGCCCUCUCCGAAGGUUUUAGAACCUGUCUUGCGGCCGGCGCUGUGGCGCAGCAGGUUAAUGCCCUAGUCUGAGGCACUGGCAUCCCAUAUGGGUGCCGGUUAGAGACCCGGCUGUUUCACUUCCAGUGCAGCUCUCUGCUGUGGCCUGGGAAAGCAGUAGAAGAUGGCCCAAGUCCUUGGGCCCCUGCACCCACGUGAGAGACCUGAAAGAAGCUCCUGGCUCCUGGCUUCGGAUCGGCACAGCUCCAGCCAUUGUGGCCAAUUGGGGAGUGAACCAUCGGAUGGAAGACCUCUCUCUCUCUCUCUGUUUCUCCUCUCUCUGUGUAACUCUGACUUUCAAAUAAAUAAAUAAAUCUUUAAAAAAAAAAAAAAAGA
ensembl:lncRNA